UACAGAGGUCCCAAGCGUUGUUCGGAUUCAUUGGGCGUAAAGGGUGCGUAGGCGGCGCGGUAAGUCGGAUGUGAAAUCUCGGAGCUUAACUCCGAAACUCCAUUCGAUACUGCCGUGCUUGAGGACUGGAGAGGAGACUGGAAUUUACGGUGUAGCGGUGAAAUGCGUAGAUAUCGUAAGGAAGACCAGUGGCGAAGGCGGGUCUCUGGACAGUUCCUGACGCUGAGGCACGAAGGUCAGGGGAGCAAACGGG
rnacentral:rRNA from 1 species